UCGGAAGGUGCGGCUGGAUCACCUCCUUUCUAAGGAUAAUUACGAGAGCGCUUUUGUUUUGUUCAGUUUUGAAUGAGUAAUUCAUUCAAAUAGGAAAGACAAACAUCACGAUGUGAUGGAUAACUUUCUGCUUUGUUCCUUGAAAACUAGAUAAUAGAUAGAAGGCAAUUAAUUUUUUUCAAAGCAUCUGUAAGAUCUUUUUUAACGGUUAAGUUAGAAAGGGCGCAC
rnacentral:misc_RNA from 1 species